rnacentral:rRNA from 1 species
UGCCAGACUCCUACGGGAGGCAGCAGUGGGGAAUAUUGCACAAUGGGGGAAACCCUGAUGCAGCAACGCCGCGUGAGUGAAGAAGCGUUUCGGCGCGUAAAGCUCUGUCAGCGGGGAAGAAAGAAGACGGUACCCGACCAAGAAGCCCCGGCUAACUACGUGCCAGCAGCCGCGGUAAUACGUAGGGGGCGAGCGUUAUCCGGAAUUACUGGGUGUAAAGGGAGCGUAGACGGCGAAGUAAGCCUGAAGUGGAAGCCCGCGGCCCAACCGCGGAACUGCUUUGGGAACUGUUUAGCUGGAGUGUGUGAGAGGAUAGUGGAAUUCCAGGUGUAGGAGUGAAAUCCGUAGAUAUCUGGAGGAACAUCAGUGGCGAAGGCGACUAUCUGGCACAUAACUGACGCUGAGGAGCGAAAGCGUGGGUAGCAAACAGGAUUAGAUACCCGUGUAAUC